GAUGAACGCUAGCGGCAGGCCUAAUACAUGCAAGUCGAACGGUGUCUUCGGACAUAGUGGCGCACGGGUGCGUAACACGUAUGCAACCUACCCUACAUUGGGGGAAAGCCUUUCGAAAGGGAGAUUAAUACCGCAUAAGACAGUAGCUGGGCAUCCAUCAGCUGUUAAAGAUUUAUCGAUGUAAGAUGGGCAUGCGUCCAAUUAGUUAGCUGGCGAGGUAAUGGCUCACCAAGACUUUGAUUGGUAGGGGAACUGAGAGGUCAAUCCCCCACACUGGCACUGAGAUACGGGCCAGACUCCUACGGGAGGCAGCAGUAGGGAAUAUUGGGCAAUGGACGCAAGUCUGACCCAGCCAUGCCGCGUGCAGGAUGAAGGCGUUAUGCGUUGUAAACUGCUUUUAUACAGGAAGAAACGACUCUUGCGAGAGGCAUUGACGGUACUGUAUGAAUAAGCACCGGCUAACUCCGUGCCAGCCGCCGCUGUAA
rnacentral:rRNA from 1 species